UACGGAGGGUGCAAGCGUUAAUCGGAAUUACUGGGCGUAAAGCGUGCGUAGGCGGUUCGUUAAGUCUGCUGUGAAAGCCCCGGGCUCAACCUGGGAAUGGCAGUGGAUACUGGCGAGCUAGAGUGUGAUAGAGGAUGGUGGAAUUCCCGGUGUAGCGGUGAAAUGCGUAGAGAUCGGGAGGAAUACCAGUGGCGAAGGCGGCUGCCUGGCCUGUUCUUGACGCUGAGGCGCGAAAGCUGGGGAGCAAACGGG
rnacentral:rRNA from 1 species